GGUGGGGUAGCUCAGCUGGCUAGAGCGCCGGUCUCAUAAGCCGGAGGUCGGGAGUUCAAGUCUCCCCCUCACUA
rnacentral:tRNA from 3 species